rnacentral:rRNA from 1 species
GACGAACGCUGGCGGCGUGCUUAACACAUGCAAGUCGAACGGUAAGGCUCCAGCUUGCUGGGGUACACGAGUGGCGAACGGGUGAGUAACACGUGGGUGACCUGCCCUGCACUUCGGGAUAAGCCUGGGAAACUGGGUCUAAUACCGGAUAGGACCGCACCGUGAGGGUGUGGUGGAAAGUUUUUUCGGUGUGGGAUGGGCCCGCGGCCUAUCAGCUUGUUGGUGGGGUAAUGGCCUACCAAGGCGGCGACGGGUAGCCGGCCUGAGAGGGUGGACGGCCACAUUGGGACUGAGACACGGCCCAGACUCCUACGGGAGGCAGAAGUGGGGAAUAUUGCACAAUGGGCGGAAGCCUGAUGCGGCGACGCCGCGUGGGGGAUGACGGCCUUCGGGUUGUAAACUCCUUUCACCAUCGACGAAGGGUUUCUGACGGUAGAUGGAGAAGAAGCACCGGCUAACUACGUG